CAGCACCUCAAGUGGUCAGGAUGAUUAUUGGGCCUAAAGCAUCCGUAGCCGGCUUUGUUAGUUUUCGGUUAAAUCUGUACGCUUAACGUACAGGCUGCCGGGAAUACUGCAGAGCUAGGGAGUGGGAGAGGUAGACGGUACUCGGUAGGAAGGGGUAAAAUCCUUUGAUCUAUUGAUGACCACCUGUGGCGAAGGCGGUCUACCAGAACACGUCCGACGGUGAGGGAUGAAAGCUGGGGGAGCAAACCGGAUUAGAUACCCGAGUAGUCC
rnacentral:rRNA from 1 species